UACGUAGGGACCGAGCGUUGUCCGGAAUCAUUGGGCGUAAAGAGCGUGUAGGCGGCCACUUAAGUCCUGCGUGAAAUCUUGCGGCUCAACCGCAAGCGGUCGUGGGAAACUGGGUGGCUAGAGUGCGGGAGAGGAGAAUGGAAUUCCCGGUGUAGCGGUGAAAUGCGCAGAUAUCGGGAGGAACACCGGUGGCGAAGGCGGUUCUCUGGGCCUUACCUGACGCUGAGGAGCGAAAGCGUGGGGAGCGAACAGG
rnacentral:rRNA from 1 species